UACGGGGGGGGCAAGCGUUGUUCGGAAUUACUGGGCGUAAAGGGCUCGUAGGUGGCCAACUAAGUCAGACGUGAAAUCCCUCGGCUUAACCGGGGAACUGCGUCUGAUACUGGAUGGCUAGAGUUUGGGAGAGGGAUGCGGAAUUCCAGGUGUAGCGGUGAAAUGCGUAGAUAUCAAGCGGAACACCAGUGGCGAAGGCGAGUCCCUGGACAACUCCUGACACUGAGGCACGAAAGCUAGGGGAGCAAACAGG
rnacentral:rRNA from 1 species